AUUGAACGCUGGCGGCAGGCUUAACACAUGCAAGUCGAGCGGGGGAAGGUAGCUUGCUACCGGACCUAGCGGCGGACGGGUGAGUAAUGCUUAGGAAUCUGCCUAUUAGUGGGGGACAACAUCUCGAAAGGGAUGCUAAUACCGCAUACGUCCUACGGGAGAAAGCAGGGGAUCUUCGGACCUUGCGCUAAUAGAUGAGCCUAAGUCGGAUUAGCUAGUUGGUGGGGUAAAGGCCUACCAAGGCGACGAUCUGUAGCGGGUCUGAGAGGAUGAUCCGCCACACUGGGAGUGGGAGACGGCCCAGACUCCUACGGGAGGCAGCAGUGGGGAAUAUUGGACAAUGGGGGGAACCCUGAUCCAGCCAUGCCGCGUGUGUGAAGAAGGCCUUAUGGUUGUAAAGCACUUUAAGCGAGGAGGAGGCUACUUUAGUUAAUACCUAGAGAUAGUGGACGUUACUCGCAGAAUAAGCACCGGCUAACUCUGUGCCAGCAGCCGCAGUAA
rnacentral:rRNA from 1 species